rnacentral:rRNA from 1 species
AGGUGGUGCAUGGUUGUCGUCAGCUCGGUGUCGUGAGAUGUUGGGUUAAGUCCCGCAACGAGCGCAACCCUUGCCAUUAGUUGCUACGAAAGGGCACUCUAAUGGGACUGCCGGUGACAAACCGGAGGAAGGUGGGGAUGACGUCAAGUCCUCAUGGCCCUUAUAGGUGGGGCUACACACGUCAUACAAUGGCCGGUACAGAGGGUAGCCAACCCGCAGGGGGAGCCAAUCCCACAAAGCCGGUCGUAGUCCGGAUCGCAGUCUGCAACUCGACUGCGUGAAGUCGGAAUCGCUAGUAAUCGCGGAUCAGCAUGUCACGGUGAAUACGUUCCCGGGUCUU